rnacentral:rRNA from 1 species
GGGCUUCAUAGUCUUGCAAUUGGAAUGAGUAGAUUUUAAAUCUCUUUACGAGUAUCAAUUGGAGGGCAAGUCUGGUGCCAGCAGCCGCGGUAAUUCCAGCUCCAAUAGCGUAUAUUAAAGUUGUUGCGGUUAAAAAGCUCGUAGUUGGAUUUCUGCCAAGAACGACCGUCCUACCUUCGGGUCUUGGACCGUGUUGAUCGAGGCAUUCUUCUAGAUUCUAUCUACUCUUAAUUGUUGUAGAAUUGAACUAGAACAUUUACUUUGAGGAAAUUAGAGCGUUUCAAGCAGGC